rnacentral:rRNA from 1 species
AUUGAACGCUGGCGGCAGGCCUAACACAUGCAAGUCGAGCGUGCGGCGGACGGGUGAGUAAUGUAUGGGGACUGCCCGAUAGAGGGGGGUAACUACUGGAGACGGUAGCUAAUACCACAUACUAUCUGCUAACCCAUAUGGGAUUAGCUAGUAGGUGAGGUAAUGGCUCACCUAGGCGACGAUCCCUAGCUGGUCUGAGAGGAUGAUCAGCAACACUGGAACUGAUAACCGGCCCAGCUUCCUACGGAGGAAGCAGUGGGGAAUAUUGGAAAAUGGGGGAAAGCUUGAUGCAGCCAUGCCGCGUGUAUGAAGAAGGCCCUAGGGUUGUAAAGUACGUUAAGUCGGGAGGCGGUACCGACAGAAGAAGCCCCGGCUAACUCCGUGCCAGCAGCCGCGGUAAUUC